rnacentral:sRNA from 1 species
AGUGCACGUUUGUUCGCAGAGCCAGCAAAGAGAGCCUCCGCCCGCCGCCGCCGCCGCCGCCCCCCCGCCCUCCGCCCGCCAACUUUGGAUCCCGCGGACUCCGCCCGGCCCGGCCUCCCCAGGCAUGGCGCCGCUGCGCUUCUCCGCCAAUCUGUCCUGGCUAUUCCCCGAGCUCCCCGGCCUCCCCGCGCGGGUGCGGGCCGCGGGCAGCUCGGGCUUCGAGGCCGUCGAGGUGGCCUGGCCGUACGCGGAGCCGCCUGAGACGCUGGCGCGCGCCGCGCGAGAAGCUGGGCUGCGGCUUGUACUGAUCAACACGCCCCCCGGUGCGCCGCGGGCCGGGAGGGCUGGUGGUGGGGGUGGGGGGCGCGGGCAGGGGAGUGCCCGAGCCGGUGGCUGAGGCCCGUUCUCUCCGCAGGAGACCAAGAGAAGGGGGAAAUGGGGUUAGGGGCCGUCCCCGGGAGACAGGCGGCCUUCCGAGAGGGACUGGAGCAGGCCGUGCGGUACGCCAAAGCCCUGAGCUGUCCCAGGUACCCCGCUCCACCCCACCCCCACCCUUCUGUGACCCAUGACGCUGCUGCAGGUUCAGGGAGUCGAGGACGCCAGAUCUGAGACGCUCAGAAGUCUGAGCCCACUGGUUUAUCUCUGCCUCUGCGGUCCUGGUCCUUUGUAAAUUGCCUUUUGUAUUUUAUCUGUCUUAUGCCAGUCUGUUUGCCACUCCUUCAUGCUUACCCCAUGCUGGGAGCUCAGUCUGCCUAGGGAGAUAGGAGAGUAAAUAUAUACAGUGAUCCAUUUGAGGACAGGCCUAUUCCAGGAAGCUGUGGGAGCAGGGUAGGCAUCUAACCCUGUCUGGAUCAGAGAAAGCUGCUUACAGGUAGUGAUGCUUGGACUGUCUUCAAGGAGUGGGCAUUGCUUGAUGGGCAGGAGGUUGAGUGUUCCUUGCAAGGGUGCUGUGGCAAAGAGGGGGCCUGGUGUAUUUGGCAGUGUUCCUGAGGCUGGACAUGUAUGUAGCCUGUUGGGAUGGGGAGGCCUGGAAUGUCUGCUUGGAGCUGGAUGUGGCUGAUAAGAUCAGGGGAUGAUGGGAGGAGGUGGACGGCUCAAAGUGGGGCUGAUUCAAAUGUCAAAUCCUGCAGAGGCCAAACAGGCUCAGAAGGAACUCGCAAGAGGGGAUCACCACUGGUCAAUGGUGGGGGCAGAAAACAGAUGGAAAGAGGCUAAGAAGUAGAUGCGAGGAGAGGAAGUAGAGAUAGCAGCAUGGAAUACCUGAGAAGGGCAAGCAAAGGUCAGGACAAUUUUUAAAGGUGAGAAUUUAGCAGGUUACAGGUUGAGGAGAAGGACCCAGGGAAGGAAAGGUUUUGGAAGGUACUGGAGGCAGGAGGCGGUGGGUGGACGCUGAGGUGUCUGGGAAAGGGCUUGCCCCUCGGCCAUCACUGAAGUGUCUCUGAAAGUGCUGGGAUACCUGGGCAUCGUGACCCAGGUGCCAUGGACUGGGGACCGGGGGAGACGGAUGAGGGCUGGCACAGUCAGGAAAUCCUGGAAGAGGUGCAGAGAGAGCCAAGGGAGGCAAGGCCUCCAGUCCAUCUUCCCCACAGGAUCCACCUGAUGGCUGGCCGAGUACCCCAGGGGGCUGAUCGAACAGCAGUCAAGGCUGAGAUGGAGACUGUUUUUCUGGAGAACCUGAGGCAUGCAGCUGGGGUUUUGGCUCAGGAGGACCUCGUGGGACUGCUGGAGCCCAUCAACACCCGCAUCACUGACCCCCAGUACUUCCUGGACACGCCCCAGCAGGCGGCAGCCAUCUUACAGAAGGUAGGAAGACCCAACCUCCAAUUACAAAUGGUAAGUGGAAGGGGGUACUUCGCAGAUCGGAAGGAGGGCAGGGCCUGCGGGGUCUCGGACUGUGGUAUACUCUUCCCUAGGACAUAUUCCACUGGCAGAUCAUGGAUGGGAACCUGACAGGAAACAUCCAGGAGUUCCUGCCCAUUGUUGGGCAUGUGCAGGUGGCACAGGUCCCAGGCCGAGGGGAGCCCAGCAGCCCUGGAGAGCUGAAUUUCCCCUAUCUGUUUCAACUGCUGGAAGAUGAAGGCUACAAAGGCUUUGUGGGCUGAGACACAGUAGAGGGCUUGAGUUGGCUACGUUCAUACUGGGAUAGGCGGGGCCACCCAGAGGCUGGCCAGUGAGGGCCUGCACACCACCCACGUGCCUCCAGACAGCGAGUGAGAUCCCAUCUCCUCCUCUGCAUUAAAGAUGACCUGCUG